rnacentral:rRNA from 1 species
GAUGAACGCUAGCGGCAGGCUUAACACAUGCAAGUCGAGGGGUAUAGUUCUUCGGAACUAGAGACCGGCGCACGGGUGCGUAACGCGUAUGCAAUCUACCUUUUGCAGAGGGAUAGCCCAGAGAAAUUUGGAUUAAUACCUCAUAGUAUGUGAGAAUGGCAUCAUUUUCACAUUAAAGUCACAACGGCAAAAGAUGAGCAUGCGUCCCAUUAGCUUGUUGGUAAGGUAACGGCUUACCAAGGCAACGAUGGGUAGGGGUCCUGAGAGGGAGGUCCCCCCAACUGGGAGUGAGACACGGACCAGACUCCUACGGAAGGCAGCAGUGAGGAAGAUUGGACAAUGGGCGCAAGUCUGAUCCAGCCGUGCCGCGUGAAGGAUUAAGGUCCUCUGGAUUGUAAACUUCUUUUAUUUGGGACGAAAAAAGAUCAUUCUUGAUCACUUGACGGUACCAGAUGAAUAAGCACCGGCUAACUCCGUGCCAGCCGCCGCCGUAAAAC